CCGAACCGACUAAUGUUGAAAAAUUAGCGGAUGACCUGUGGCUGGGGGUGAAAGGCCAAUCAAACCGGGAGAUAGCUGGUUCUCCCCGAAAGCUAUUUAGGUAGCGCCUCGUGAAUUCAUCUCCGGGGGUAGAGCACUGUUUCGGCUAGGGGGCCAUCCCGGCUUACCAACCCGAUGCAAACUGCGAAUACCGGAGAAUGUUAUCACGGGAGACACACGGCGGGUGCUAACGUCCGUCGUGAAGAGGGAAACAACCCAGACCGCCAGCUAAGGUCCCAAAGUCAUGGUUAAGUGGGAAACGAUGUGGGAAGGCCCAGACAGCCAGGAUGUUGGCUUAGAAGCAGCCAUCAUUUAAAGAAAGCGUAAUAGCUCACUGGUCGAGUCGGCCUGCGCGGAAGAUGUAACGGGGCUAAACCAUGCACCGAAGCUGCGGCAGCGACACUGUGUGUU
rnacentral:rRNA from 1 species